rnacentral:rRNA from 1 species
GGCGGACGGGUGAGUAACACGUGGGUAACCUGCCUCGUAGUGGGGGAAUAACUCGCCGAAAGGCGAGCUAAUACCGACAUAUAACUCCUGGUGAGAAUCCGGGAAGUAAAAGCUCCGGCGCUACGAGAGGGGCCCGCGGCCGAUUAGCUUGUUGGUGGGGUAAUGGCCUACCAAGGCGACGAUCGGUAGCUGGUCUGAGAGGAUGGUCAGCCACACGGGGACUGAGAUACGGCCCCGACUCCUACGGGGAGGCAGCAGCUAAGAAUCUUGCGCAAUGGGCGAAAGCCUGACGCAGCAAUUCCGCGUGGAGGACGAAGGCCCUCGGGUCGUAAACUCCUUUUGCGAGGGAAGAAGUUCUGACGGUACCUCGCGAAUAAGCCACGGCUAACUACGUGCCAGCAGCCGCGGUAAUACGUAGGUGGCGAGCGUUGUCCGGAUUUAUUGGGCGUAAAGAGCCGCAGGCGGCUUGGCAAGUUUCGAGUGAAAUCU